rnacentral:rRNA from 1 species
UGCUUACACAUGCAAGUCGAACGGGAUCCAUCAGGCUUUGCUUGGUGGUGAGAGUGGCGAACGGGUGAGUAAUGCGUGACCGACCUGCCCCAUACACCGGAAUAGCUCCUGGAAACGGGUGGUAAUGCCGGAUGCUCCAGUUGAUCGCAUGGUCUUCUGGGAAAGCUUUCGCGGUAUGGGAUGGGGUCGCGUCCUAUCAGCUUGACGGCGGGGUAACGGCCCACCGUGGCUUCGACGGGUAGCCGGCCUGAGAGGGCGACCGGCCACAUUGGGACUGAGAUACGGCCCAGACUCCUACGGGAGGCAGCAGUGGGGAAUAUUGCACAAUGGGCGCAAGCCUGAUGCAGCGACGCCGCGUGAGGGAUGGAGGCCUUCGGGUUGUAAACCUCUUUUAUCGGGGAGCAAGCGAGAGUGAGUUUACCCGUUGAAUAAGCACCGGCUAACUACGUGCCAGCAGCCCGCGGUAAAACUCAUAC